UACGUAGGGGGCAAGCGUUGUUCGGAUUUAUUGGGCGUAAAGAGCGUGUAGGCGGCUUUGCAAGUCCGUUGUGAAAACUCGAGGCUCAACCUCGAGACGCCGGUGGAAACUGCAAAGCUAGAGUCCGGAAGAGGAGAGUGGAAUUCCUGGUGUAGCGGUGAAAUGCGCAGAUAUCAGGAAGAACACCCGUGGCGAAGGCGGCUCUCUGGGACGGUACUGACGCUGAGACGCGAAAGCGUGGGGAGCGAACAGG
rnacentral:rRNA from 1 species